GACAGAGGGUGCGAACGUUGUUCGGAAUUACUGGGCGUAAAGCGCGUGUAGGCGGCAGCGCAAGUCGGGCGUGAAAUCCCACGGCUCAACCGUGGAAGUGCACUCGAAACUGCGCAGCUAGAGUCCUGGAGAGGAAGGUGGAAUGCUUGGUGUAGAGGUGAAAUUCGUAGAUAUCAAGCGGAACACCGGUGGCGAAGGCGACCUUCUGGACAGUGACUGACGCUGAGACGCGAAAGCGUGGGGAGCAAACAGGG
rnacentral:rRNA from 1 species